AACGAACGCUGGCGGCAUGCCUAACACAUGCAAGUCGAACGAGACCUUCGGGUCUAGUGGCGCACGGGUGCGUAACGCGUGGGAACCUGCCCUUAGGUUCGGAAUAACUCUCCGAAAGGGGUGCUAAUACCGGAUAAUGUCUUCGGACCAAAGAUUUAUCGCCUUUGGAUGGGCCCGCGUUGGAUUAGCUAGUUGGUAGGGUAAAAGCCUACCAAGGCGACGAUCCAUAGCUGGGCUGAGAGGAUGAUCAGCCACACUGGGACUGGGACACGGCCCAGACUCCUACGGGAGGCAGCAGUGGGGGAUAUUGGACAAUGGGCGAAAGCCUGAUCCAGCAAUGACGCGUGAGUGAUGAAGGCCUUAGGGUUGUAAAGCUCUUUUACCCGGGAUGAUAAUGACAGUACCGGGAGAAUAAGCUCCGGCUAACUCCGUG
rnacentral:rRNA from 1 species